AGUGAACGCUGGCGGUAGGCCUAACACAUGCAAGUCGAACGGCAGCACAGUAAGAGCUUGCUCUUACGGGUGGCGAGUGGCGGACGGGUGAGGAAUACAUCGGAAUCUACUUUUUCGUGGGGGAUAACGUAGGGAAACUUACGCUAAUACCGCAUACGACCUACGGGUGAAAGCAGGGGAUCUUCGGACCUUGCGCGAUUGAAUGAGCCGAUGUCGGAUUAGCUAGUUGGCGGGGUAAAGGCCCACCAAGGCGACGAUCCGUAGCUGGUCUGAGAGGAUGAUCAGCCACACUGGAACUGAGACACGGUCAAGACUCCUAAGGGAGGCAGCAGUGGGGAAUAUUGGACAAUGGGCGCAAGCCUGAUCCAGCCAUACCGCGUGGGUGAAGAAGGCCUUCGGGUUGUAAAGACCUUUUGUUGGGAAAGAAAAGCAGCAGGUUAAUACCCCGCUGUUCUGACGGUACCCAAAGAAUAAGCACCGGCUAACUUCGUG
rnacentral:rRNA from 1 species